rnacentral:rRNA from 1 species
AACGAACGCUGGCGGCAGGCCUAACACAUGCAAGUCGAACGCCCCGCAAGGGGAGUGGCAGACGGGUGAGUAACGCGUGGGAACCUUCCCAGUGGUGCGGAAUAGCUCAGGGAAACUUGGGGUAAUACCGUAUAAGCCCGAAAGGGGAAAGAUUUAUCGCCAUUGGAUGGGCCCGCGUAGGAUUAGCUAGUUGGUGAGGUAAUGGCUCACCAAGGCGACGAUCCUUAGCUGGUCUGAGAGGAUGAUCAGCCACACUGGGACUGAGACACGGCCCAGACUCCUACGGGAGGCAGCAGUGGGGAAUAUUGGACAAUGGGCGCAAGCCUGAUGGAGCGACACCGCGUGAAGGAUGAAGAUCUAACGAUUGUAAACUUCUUUUCUGAGGGAGCAUAAUGAGAGUACCUCAGGAAUAAGGGACGGCUAAAUACGUGCCAGCCGCCGCCGUAAAAC